ACUAAUUCAAAUCUUGUCGGUAUAUUAUUACAAAAAGUAUGUAUCUGUUUCAAUAAAUGUACUUCAAUGGCACUUAAGUUACACUACAUGGUCAUGCUUAUAAGACAUAAUCAUGAAAUGUUCAGUAUCGUUUUCUUCAAUGUCAUUGAACUGAAUUAUUAGAUAAAGUCAGCAUUUAAAGAUAUUUCUGAAAGUUCAAAACUGUUAGUCGCGGCUCAUUCUUAUGGAUUAUCGAAUCCUUUCACUAAAAGUUAACGUGUGGUUAAUAUUAGAUGAGCAGAAAGGACAAUCAAGUGUUGAAUGUAAAAACAUUAACUAUAUUAAAUUGUUAAGUCUGUGUUUUGUAAUAGUUGUGUCUUAUAACAAAAAUGAAGUUUAGAUGAAGAACUGUCGAAAGUGCACAUGCCUACAAGGAACAUAUACAGAUUAUAUUUCUAUUUGGAAUGAAAUUCCAAAAAGAAUAGGAUAGAUACAGGCUUGAAAAUAUUAAACAGUGAAAUAUGGAUACAAACAAUGUGUACUGUGUACAAGUGAAAAAUGGGCAAUGUGUUCAGCACUAAAUCGACUUUCGGCAAAACAGUAGUUGUAAUUGAACUGAAUGCCACAUACUCCAGACACACUAUUCAUCAUACGUUAAAGGGCAAUACCAAACCGACUCUUUUCACAUGUGAGAAACAUCCCUACUGUUACGAGCUAACGGAUAAUGGGUCUAUUCAAUCGUUCGGAUACCAGACUUUCGUAAAUUUAGAAAAAGAAAAUCAAUCUAAAAAGAACACAAUUUUCUACUUUAGGAACUUGACACACCACAUUCAAUUUGACAUUGGUUUGAAGUUAAAAGAUUCAUGGGGGAAACUCACAAAUUUCACGGACGUUUUACACAAUGUGUUUGCGUACCAUAAAGCAGAGGCAAUAUCAACGUUAUUGCGUAAAGAAGGUAAAAAUCGAGAUUUUCAUUGGAUAAUUGUAUUACCAGUCGGAUCACAGUUACAAGCGAAAACUGAGAUCAAGAAAGCUGCAGAGGACGCUGGAUUGAACAACGAUCAAUAUAGCUAUGUGUUCGCUACUGAUGCUUUCGCUCUUUACAGCGUGACACAAAUCAGCAGAAUUAAAGCUUCCCCCUUCACACGUGAAAGAGAUACUAAACAAUUUUCAUCUCUUUGUUUUGACACUGUAUUGGCUGAAAAGGGUUCAUAUGAUAUAUUUCAAGAUGGCGAAAUAUGCAACAAUUCAAGGGAUAGAAUUAUGGUAAAUGGCCAGUCCCUUCGAGAUAACAUUGAGCAGUUCCUCUGUGUCAUAUUUUCUAAGAAAUUUAUCGAUCUGUACAAAUGGAAAUACACAUACCACUUUCACAUGCUCUGCAAAGAUUUUGAGGAGCAAGCUGGACAGUAUGAUAUUGCAACUGCAGAAAUAACUUUGCAAUUCAAACAUUUUGUCGACAUCGCAAGGGAAUAUCAUUGCUGGCCAAAAAACCGCCUUAUUGAAGCCACCUCAUCUUUAGUAUUCUCAAAACAGGAAGUACUACAGAUAUUGGAUGUCUUUAUUCUCAACCUCGCUAAAUGUCUGCGGCGUUUAUUAAAAGCUCACGGAAGUUCGGUGUGCUUCAUAUUAAUGAAUCAAUGUACAAGUUCAUACGUUCACCAAAGACUACAAGAAGAGCUUCAAAACAACAAUACUGGUCUUUUAGGGAGCUUAGUAUUCAAAGGAAAAACAAUAACAUCCGACUAAACGUAUGGGUAUGUCGCUAUUGAAAAUUUCAAUAAAGAGCUCCAUUCUAAUCAGAAUAAAAUUUUGCUCUACAAUGAUGAUAUUGAUGAGGAAAGCUCCAUAUGGCUAUUCAAACUUCUGAUUAAAAAGGGACAAAUUAUAAAUGAUUCCAGUAGAUUUGUUUGGAGUGAAUCAAUUACCUUUAUAUCUAAACGAAAUAAAAAAUCAGAUCAUCAAGCUAUUGUUAUGAGAUCUAAAUAUGAAAAUCCAAUGUACAUACAUGAAGAGGGAUGUGAAGUUGCAACCACUAUACAAGUCAACCCUCCCCCUGAAGGGUGGUCAGAUGAAGUAGAGUUUCAGUACACACUUACUGUCACAAAAAAUGCUCAAAUGGUUGAAGUAGUUGACUUGAAAUCUGGACGAAAACACCAAGCAAUACUUAUAUACAAGCUGAACAUUGAGUUCCUAAGAGAUCUUAGUUCAGUUGAAAUGCAAACGGCAAUAUUUUCAGGAUUAAAACAAGACAUACUCAAAAAAAGAGCAACCUAUACAUUUGGGGUCAUGACAACUCCGCCAUUCCAGAAGGGAAAGGAUCCAGACAACUACAAGUUUGUUGAUAACGAAGGUGUGGUAAGGAAUAGAGGUGUGUUCUACAAAUUGAUAAAGAAGGGAACACUAAUGAGCAGCGGGCAGAUCUUCUCUGCACAAGUUCGCUUUGUCCCAUGGGUCGGGUUUCAGUCUUUUAGCCUGUACCGCUGCCCCUCCGAAAAUCCUGACAUUGAAGAUGGUGAGGUGGUAGCCAGUGUAUGCCCAUAUCGGCAUGGCCUACCGUGUUCAAAAUUAGAGGUACAGAUCGUUGUGAAAGACACUUAUUUUGUGUUUAAAGUAAUUGACAUGGAAAGUCGGCAAGAAUGGAUCGAGGACAUUUUAUAGGAUUCGUGACAAAACUAAACGUUGAAUUCAUGCUCAAUGGAAAUCACGCCCUCGACCACAAGAACAUUUGCAAUAUAUUUACUGUUCGUUCAGAACUAAAUCCAAUAUCAAAAUCGAUUUUUUUAACUAACACCUGCUCCCAUUGUCGUUAAGGUCAGAGACUACUAAAUAAACUUCCUAUAUAUUCGAUAGAUAAUUGACUAAUUUGCACGUGAAAUAAAAUUGAUUUCUAGUGAUGCACGACCCCCAACACCACACAUGGGGAGAAAGUUACACAUGUGAACUAAACAUUUAACAACGCUACGAAAAAAAGUUAAGUUUCUUAUAAGAAGAAGAAUUGUUUGAACAAAUCCACUAUGUAUUCGACAAAGUGACCAAAUCUGAUGAGGGAGUACAAACAAUAUAAUAAGGUUAAUAGAUCCAGCAUGUCCAGUCAGAUUUUGAAUUUACAAACCAUUUAGUUUGUAAACAUAGAAAUUAGCAAAUGAUCUGAUUUAAUUUAACCAUGCUUAGUUUCACUGUUAUGUGAAAAAAAAAAUCAUGUAACAUUGAGAAGGCACUUCCAAAAUUGGUGUAAUUUGCCCUAUACCUUACUUUCUUCUCGACCCCAAACCACCCUUGCAAAGUUUAAAGAUAAUAGAAAUGAAUUUAUUAUUCAUUCACUGAAAAGACAUUGAAAUAAAUAUCCGCUUAAAGUGGCACCCUUAUUUAAAAAUCAAUACAAACACAAGUAUAACAAACGUAAAUUUUGAGUGAUAAACCUUUAACUACUUACAAAAUUAUGCAUUUAUGGAAAAUAUUUAUUUCUGAUAACAAUAUUUUAACCGUAUAUUUAAUAGCUGAAAGCGCAAAAUAUUAAAAUAUUGGUGAGUUCUAAAAGAUUGACUGUGAUCUAUUAUCGUCUCAAAAGGUAGAAUACCGUGUUUUCUGCACCUUCCUUUCAAAUUAAAAUCGGUAUCCUUAAAAAACAUAUAUUCAUCCUUUUUGGCAUAUAAAAACAAUUGUAUUAAUAGAGGUAAAUCUUAUUUGGGAGUAAGAGUGCAUCUUUAACAUUAGCUAUUUUUGUGAGAAAAAAUAAUGCAAGUUGUUUAUCAAACCCUUCAGUUCGCCUUCCAUAUUCUAGUUAUUAAACAAAAUUAUACUUUUACUACCAGUCUCUUCUAAUUAUUUAAUUACAUGUAGUACAGUUUCUUUUAAAAGAAAUAAAUACGUGAUCUUAUUUCUGAUACAUGUAUCACUUAAAUAUUUUGUAUCGUUUGCCAUGCAUCCUUGUGUUUAUUCUUUGUACAUUUUUGUUUUACAACUGAUGCCCACAUUGGCCUAGCUCGUGAACAAAAACUGCAAACUGAAAAAUGUAUCUUGGUUAUCUCCAUUGAUAACUUUUUAACUCUUUUCAUAGCUUGCUUCUUUUAAUCCCCGAUACCUCGCAUUAGUAAAUUUCAUCUUAAAUUACUGUUUACAUGGUAAAUGCUUAUUCAUCCUACACAUUAUGUCUCCUGAAUUGUUCAUUCUACCUCUUAUUAGCGUAUUUUAAAUCAUAAGGAAAGCCCUGCUUUCUUUAUAAUCGUUUCAAUAGAUCAUAUUUACAUUUUUGUAUGACAUACAAGGUAGCAAUCUGUGAAGUUGAAUGCGAUAUGUUGAAACACACAUGAAGUGAAAAUUUGAAAAAACAACACCUGUAUCAUUUUGCUGUGUAAAGUUCAUGUGUAAUUUUGUUUAUUUAUGAUUACAUAGAGAAAGGUUAAAAUCACUGAUACAGUUUAGCUUAAAACAUUCAGGAGAGCAUGACAGAAAAUGUGGGGGAAAAAUCAAGAAAGUGUCUGUUCCUAUACAUUGUAUGAUGCCGUUGACAUUGUUGUCAACUUUUAAACAUUUUGACUUAUUGGAACCUUGUUAACUGUUUUCGGUUUUGUGUUUUUAAUAAACCAUAUAAAAUGUAAAAUUUAACCAUUUUUUACUGUUGAAAGUGUAUGUUAUAAAACGGUUGUGAAAUGAAUAUGAAAUGAUAUGUACUCAAUCUGGCGCAUAAUAAUAUAAGGCUUCGGACAUUGCGCAUUAUUACUCCGCUCAAGAGCUCGUGCAUAUAUUGUCAUAGGAACCAAUUACUUAUAUGUUUUCAUACGUAAGAAGGAAAUUUAUAGGAUAAGACAGUAUACCUUAUUAACAUUUUAAACUGUGCAUGACACAUGUCAUCGUCAGUUGUUGUUAAAAUACUGUUUGUAGUCAAAAUAUCAAAAUAAUGUUGGAAAUGUAUUUAAGCCUGCAUUCUAAACUUAUAAUGACGAAGUUAUGCUAAAAUGAUGAACAACACUAAUUUGGUGCAAAGCAUCAAAGACGCAGCGAAUGUUUUUAAAAAGUACUAAAAGGAAGCAUAUGCAGUUCUGCAGCAUACCAAGUUUGAGGUACCUGGAUACAAGCGUUCUUUAGUUAUUUAACAACCGUGACUUUUGACCAACUGACGUCAAAGAUUUUAGGGUGCUGGUCAUGAUUGACGACCCUCUACCAAGAUCUAGGUCUCAAUAUCU